rnacentral:lncRNA from 1 species
UUCUACUCAUUUCAUAAUACAUUUGGAUACUCGGAUACCAAUAAAAUUUUAAAAAUUACAGACACAAUACAAAAAUUAAGCUCAUAUUCUUAUUCUCAAACUAUUGGAUACUUUAAUUAUGUAUUUAUGCUCAAACUAUUUUCUAUUCUUAUUCCUUUUAUCAGAAACAACCGAGUAUAUAGUUCUUAGUGUUGCACUUGUCUAAACAUGAAAACUGAAUACACAUCUAUCUUAGUAUUUCCUAUAGUAGUUUAUUAGUCU